rfam:Hydnomerulius pinastri MD-312 unplaced genomic scaffold scaffold_2, whole genome shotgun sequence.
UGCCCCAUGGCUGAGUUGGUUACAGCGUCCGACUGUUAUGCUUGAAACAUCGGAAGGUCGUGAGUUCGAGCCUCACUGGGGCAG